UACGGGGGGGGCAAGCGUUGAUCGGAAUUACUGGGCGUAAAGGGCGCGUAGGCGGCCAUCUAAGUCAGACGUGAAAUCCCCCGGCUUAACCUGGGAACUGCGUCUGAUACUGGACGGCUCGAGUAUGGGAGAGGGAUGUAGAAUUCCAGGUGUAGCGGUGAAAUGCGUAGAUAUCUGGAGGAAUACCGGUGGCGAAGGCGGCAUCCUGGACCAUUUACUGACGCUGAGGCGCGAAAGCUAGGGGAGCAAACGGG
rnacentral:rRNA from 1 species